rnacentral:rRNA from 1 species
UCGCCCAAGGAUGAGCCCGCGUCGGAUUAGCUAGUUGGUGAGGUAAAAGCUCACCAAGGCGACGAUCCGUAGCUGGUCUGAGAGGAUGAUCAGCCACACUGGGACUGAGACACGGCCCAG